CACGUAGGGGGCAAGCGUUGUCCGGAUUUAUUGGGCGUAAAGAGCUCGUAGGUGGUUCGGUAAGUCGGGUGUUAAACCCCCAGGCUCAACCUGGGGACGCCACUCGAUACUGCUGUGACUAGAGUCCGGUAGGGGAGCGUGGAAUUCCUGGUGUAGCGGUGAAAUGCGCAGAUAUCAGGAGGAACACCAAUUGCGAAGGCAGCUCGCUGGAACGUAACUGACGCUGAGACGCGAAAGCGUGGGGAGCAAACAGG
rnacentral:rRNA from 1 species